rnacentral:rRNA from 1 species
GACGAACGCUGGCGGCGUGCCUAAUACAUGCAAGUAGAACGCUGAAGAGAGGAGCUUGCUCUUCUUGGAUGAGUUGCGAACGGGUGAGUAACGCGUAGGUAACCUGCCUUGUAGCGGGGGAUAACUAUUGGAAACGAUAGCUAAUACCGCAUAACAAUGGGAGACACAUGGCACUUAUUUGAAAGGGGCAAUUGCUCCACCACAAGAUGGACCUGCGUUGUAUUAGGUAGUAGGUGAGGUAAUGGCUCACCUAAGCGACGAUACAUAGCCGGCCUGGGAGGGUGGACCGCCAAAAUGGGACUGGAGAAAGGCCCAGGACCCUACCGGGAGGCGCAAUAGGGGAUCUUUGGCAAAGGGGGCAAAGCUGGACGGGGAAAGCCGGGGGGGGGGAGAAAGUUUUCGGGUCGGAAAACUCUGUUGAAAGGGAAGGAAGGGUGGGAGAGUGAAAAGUUCACACUGUGACGGUAGCUUACCAGAAAGGGACGGCUAACUACGUG